CCUAGAGUUCUCAAACGUUCCUCAUAUGUUAAGCUUUUAAUUUCUGGGCUUUUCAUUAUGUGACUGUGUGUUAUAUAACUGCUGGUUCUGGAAUAUGAAACUAUUGUAUGUUUCAUUUUCUUUCCAAGCAAAAAAUAAACAAAAAGUUAAAAACUGCAAUCAGAAGAAAGUAAGAAAGUGUUCGUAAGUGAGACAGAGAGAGAGACACCAGCUUUUUGUGCUGUGGUUCCUGAGCUGAGUGUUAACUCUUCAUGAUCUGGUGCCUGCAGGGAUCCUCCUGACACAAGUCUCUAAGCUGCUUGAGCAUCAAUCUAUGCAAAGUUGAAAAAAAAAUCAAAAGAACUGUGGAUGCUGUAAAUCAGGAACAAAAACAAAGUUGCUGGAAAAGCACAACAGGUCUGGCAGCAUCUGUGAAGGAGAAAACAGAGUUAACGUUUCGGGUCCGGUGACUCUUCCUCAGAACAAUUAUCUUAAAGACAUCAAGUGUAGAACCAGACUUCCCGACACUGGAAGAUCAUUUAAAAAGUUCAACUUGAGGAAACGUAAUAAUAUUGUAGUCAUCUAUAUGUAACACAAAUGAGCUCUGGCUCUUGGAGAAUGUGUCCAGGGACAGCCCAUGGUGUCACCAUCUGGCUUUUAUUAUCAGGACCAGUGGAUGUCAAUGACCUGCAAUAUUCACCGUUUUGACACUCUUGCAAAAAUUAAAGAAUGCCUCCAUAGAAAAAUUGUCUACUUGCUUGGAGAUUCCACCAUGCGACAGUGGUUUGAGAGUUUGACUCAAUUUGUCCCAGGUUAGGCUAUGUGUCAUGUCUCUUUACAGUCGUACAGGCACUGUUCAAAGUUCCUAAUUUUGCUAUGAACCUCUUAAACUCGUCAUUCACAAACUGCAGACUGUUGUCUGAUACAAUCUCAUCUUGCCUUCAGCGCUUUGAUCACAGUCACCACUGUGGUGGGGAUAAGU